UGUCGCCAAACCCAUCAUCAUUAUCACGACUGGCACAACAACAACAAGUGCUACGCCGACGAGCGGUUUCCCAACGAAGGGCAUCAGCAUUGGAUUCGGCAAAAAAUGAGCGGAGUUCAGCAACAAUCAUAUUUUUACACUUCAAUCUAUGGCUACGUUUUAAUUGAAUUGUACUCCGUUUUUAUUGUAGUAUUUCUGUUGUUUUCUACCCGAUUUUUCCACUUUUAUAAAAACCGAUGAAAAACUC